rnacentral:snRNA from 1 species
GUACAUUUAAAUUUUACUGACUGUCCCUUCGGGGAUAUAGAGAUUAGCAUGGCCCAUGCGCAAGGAUGACAAGCACAAAUGGACAAAUGGUCCAAAAUUAU